rnacentral:lncRNA from 7 species
CUGUUGAGGAGCAGUUAAUUAACACUACUGUUUUUCUAAUCAUUCUGUUAGGCGCUGGAACAACUGGCCGUGCUCAGAGGAAAACAGCACUGUUAGCAGCACAGGGUUUUGCUGGGGGGACCUGCAGCCUCUCGAGGACUUGGGCAGCCCUGCAGUGUGUGGGCAGCAACGUUUCCCGUGACAUUUGGAUGCUUGCUGCUCUGUGGUGCCAAGCCCCUGCUUAGAGCAAUAGCACGUCCUGCAGAGCAAGGAAUUGGCCCUACUACUGCAGGAGGGUUGCAAGCCACGCUGGGGAUGUUUUUACGCCUUGCAAAUGCAAAGCAAUCCAGCCCAGAAUAACCUGGGGUUCAAAACGCCCAGCUCUCCAAACUGACUCUUGGCAUCGCUGCCAUCAGCCAAAACCUGGCACAAGAAGCGGGUUACAGAUUCUUGUGCUUGAAGAAAAUACAAAUUCCAGCCACUCUGGAGGCAGUACCAGAUGUGCAAAAAUGUGGCUGAGCUGGGGAACUUUUCUUCCACUCAAGAGUUAUGGUGGGCUUGCUGCUGAUCUCCCCUUGCCCAUUAUGUGCCCUCUCUGAUGAUCCAUGCUGUGACCUGUCAUAAGGCAACUAAUGCAAAGGUUAAUGGAAGGAAAAUGCCUAAUAAGUGAAUCCCUUGGACUUGGAGGGAGACAAUGGAGUGGGAUCUCUCCUGGGAAACAUCUUGUAACUAUGACUGAUGGGAGACCAGAAAUUUCUUAAGGAUCUUGACCCUUAUACUACUCUAUACCAGGUGGGUGUGGGUUGUAUAUAGGGGUGUAUGUAUAUAGGGGUGUAUGUAUAUAGGGGUGUAUGUAUAUAGGGGUGUAUGUAUAUAGGGGUGUAUGUAUAUAGGGGUGUAUGUAUAUAGGGGUGUAUGUAUAUAGGGGUGUAUGUAUAUAGGGGUGUAUGUAUAUAGGGGUGUAUGUAUAUGGGGUGUAUGUAUAGGGUGUAUGUAUAUAGGGGUGUAUGUAUAUAGGGGUGUUGUAGGG